UCGCUCGCCGCCGCUUCUCCACCCCCCAAGAGUCACCGAUACCCCUGCGCUCGGAGCCCCGGGAAGCAGGAAAGGGACCCUAGUUAGUACUGGCAUAGGGAGAGAUUAGGGGGUCGACAGAUUGGGCAGAGAGAUCGUAACCCGUCCCUGGAGGCAGCUUUCUGGGAGUCCAGCCCCUUCCCCGGAGGAUGCAAAUUCCAUAGGGAGGAGUUGUUCCAGUGGACUCUGUGUACUCCCUCCUGAGAUCGAGUUUCUUCAUCUGAGAACACCAGAUUGUUUUAGACACUCCUGAGACCAUCUGAACCAACACCCACCAAGUUCUCCGAUUCACUUGAGUGACAAUUAAGAGAUUUCCCCUGCUGCAUUCAUCUCUUCUCUGCCGGUGCAAGAUUCAACAGCCUGCACAGCCUGCCUGUGGCUGCAUUUGUUGUUCAAGAAGACUCCACGUGUUACGAAUACUCAUGAAUCCAACUUCAAGCCCUAUCCAUCAUGCCCUCCACUUUUUUGAUAUUAUUCUCCAAAAUCUUCCCUCAUAUUUCCCUUCUAACACCCAAGAGAUCACCAGUACCCAACUUAGAGAUUUCAUUCUUGAUCUCUUUCUCCAGGGUGAUCUCAUGGAUUUCACUUGGGAUGAGGUAAUUCAGUUUCUGGAACUUCCGUAAAAAUAUUGCAUUAUGUCUCUCCCUACAA